rnacentral:misc_RNA from 1 species
GUAAAAUGUAUGCUUGCUAACUUCAUGAACUUAGUAACUUUAUACUGGUUUCAGUUCAUGGCACACAUACUCAACAAAAGUUGGCUUAUUGACAAGCUGGGGAGAUUAAGUUGGAGUCUUGGGAGUUCCAACUUAAGAGGAAGCUGACUAGCCAACCAAAGUCAAGGGAGGUCACAGCCCCCUUGGUCCUCUUUUAAUCUAUCAAAGUCACGAAGCUCCUCUAAUCCGUCAGUCGCCAA